rnacentral:lncRNA from 1 species
AGAGCAGCCCUGGCAGGCUCUCCCAGCUCCCCUUGGCAGGCUCUUCCUUUUUCUGAGGAAAGUGGCUUGAUUCCCCUGACUCCUUGCCAGCUGCUGAUCCGUACAUGGCCAGGACAGCCACAGUGCAAGGGACAGCUGCAUUACCUAGGGUAACAGUGACCAAGUCUGGAGACCCUUUUGUCCAGUUAGGCUCAGCUUGGGUCUCUGUCACACCUAUGAAAUCCUUCUGGGGUGCUGUCUUACACUCCGGUGGCUUCCCUUAGAUGGUGGAGCUAGGUUCCUUUUCCUGUCUUGGGGCCCUGCCUGUCACCCCACUGCCUACUGGGGGCCAAGGCUGUUUUCUCUCCUGGAUAUCCUUGUGUUGUAAUUAUGUACAGAAGGUCAGGUUGGCCUGGGGUGGGUGCUGUCCUUUCCCCUCUCCACAGCGCUGCUUCACUCCAGUUUAUUUAAGAGGAUAUGCUAGGAAGUGUCCUCCGUCUCCUUCCCACCCGUGCCCUGCUCUCUCCUAACUCACUUGCUUUGUAUGCUCAGGCCUCUCUGCUGCAGUCACAAAGUCUGUCUUCGAUUUUGUUCCUUUCUAGCCAUCAAGCCCCUCUCUGAAUAAGGGUCUUCCCUUGAGUCCAGGGGUGGAACCCAAUGUUUACAUUCUCUUCUGUCUUGGUCCCACCUCAGUGGCAGUUUUGUGGCGCUUUGAGGAACCGGAAAAUGAACCUGCUGUUAUAUCUGU